rnacentral:rRNA from 1 species
GGUAAGUUACCAAGGGCAUACGGUGGAUGCCUUGACACGAGCAGGCGAUGAAGGACGUAGUAAUCUGCGAUAAGCCACGGGUAGCCGAAAACAGCGUUAAUCCGUGGAUUUCCGAAUGGGGCAACCCGGCUGGAGUCAUGUCCAGUCACCCGAAAGGGAGCUAACCCGGGGAACUGAAACAUCUAAGUACCCGGAGGAAGAGAAAACAAUAGUGAUUCCCUGAGUAGCGGCGAGCGAAACGGGAAGAGCCCAAACCAGUGCGCGUAUGUUCACUGGGGUUGUAGGGCCCAUGUAGCGACUGCGCGAGAUAGCAGAACAUUCUGGAAAGUUUGACCAUAGAAGGUGACAGUCCUGUAAGCGAAAUCUCAAACAGCGUGUGGGGAACCCUGAGUACCACGGAGUAAGGGAAAUUCUGUGGGAAUCUGCCGGAACCAUCCGGUAAGGCUAAAUACUCGCUCGUGAUCGAUAGCGAACUAGUACCGUGAGGGAAAGGUGAAAAGCACCCAGUAUAUGGGAGUGAAAUAGACCUGAAACCGUAUGCUUACAAACGGUGGGAGCAAACCAGCGCCUAAGGGUGUUGGCAAGUGACCGCGUGCCUUUUGCUUAAUGAGCCAACGAGUUACUCGUCCGUGGCAAGGCUAAGGUGUUCAGCACCGGAGCCGUAGCGAAAGCGAGUCUGAACAGGGCGUUCAGUCGCGGGCGGUAGACGCGAAACCGGGUGAUCUAUUCUUGGCCAGGGUGAAGGUUAGGUAACACUAACUGGAGGCCCGAACCGGUAUGGGUUGAAAACCGUUCGGAUGAGCUGAGAAUAGGAGCGAAAGACCAAUCAAACUCGGAGAUAGCUCGUACUCCCCGAAAUGUUUUUAGGAACAGCCUCGAUGUAGUCAACAGCAGGUAGAGCACUGAUUGGGCUAGGGCCCUCACAAGGGUACCAAACCCAGACAAACUCCGAAUGGCUGUUUGAUGUUCGUCGGGAGUGAGGCAGUGAGGGAUAAGCUUCAUUGCCGAGAGGGGAACAACCCAGAUCGCCGUCUAAGGCCCCCAAGUCGAUGCUCACAGAGAAAGGAUGUUGCGUUACUGAGACAACCAGGAUGUUGGCUUAGAAGCAGCCAUUCAUUUAAAGAGUGCGUAAUAGCUCACUGGUCAAGUGACACAGCGUCGAUAAUACACGGGACUAAGCAUCGCGCCGAAGACGCGGGUUCAAUUUUAUUGAGCGGUAGGGGAGCAUUCUGUCGACUGCGAAGCGGUACAGGUGACUGGCCGUGGAGUUUACAGAAACGCAAAUGUUGGCAUAAGUAACGAUAACGGAAGUGAGAAUCUUCCGCGCCGAAAAUCUAAGGGUUCCUGCGCAACGUUCGUCGACGCAGGGUUAGUCGGCCCCUAAGGCGAGGCUGAAAAGCGUAGCUGAUGGGAAUCCGGUCCAAGGCCGCAAGGCCGAAUAUUCCGGAACCACCAAAAGAGUUAAACAGAGGGACGCAGGGGCGUGGUUCAUCCGAUUAUUGGCUAUUCGGAUGGGCGAAGCAACUGCCAAGAAAAGCUCUGUGUAUUUCUUCGGUGACCGUACCGUAAACCGACACAGGUAGAUGGGUUGAAUAUACUCAGGCGCGCGAGUGAGCCGUGGUUAAGGAACUCGGCAAAUUGGCCUCGUAACUUCGGGAUAAGAGGCGCCUACUUCGGUAGGCCGCAGAGAAAUGGCCCAAGCGACUGUUUAACAAAAACACAGCACAAUGCAAAGUCGUAAGACGCAGUAUAUUGUGUGACACCUGCCCGGUGCCGGAAGGUUAAGGAAGGGGGUCCGGAGCAAUCCAAAGCUUCCGACCGAAGCCCCGGUAAACGGCGGCCGUAACUAUAACGGUCCUAAGGUAGCGAAAUUCCUUGUCGGGUAAGUUCCGACCUGCACGAAUGGUGUAACGAUUUGGGCACUGUCUCGACCACGGGCUCGGUGAAAUUGUGGUACCGGUGAAGACGCCGGUUACCCGCAUAUGGACGGAAAGACCCUAUGCACCUUUACUGCAACCUGACAUUGGCUUCGGGUAUCUCAUGUGUAGGAUAGGUGGGAGGCUGUGAAGCGGCUACGCUAGUAGUCGUGGAGCCAACGGUGAAAUACCACCCUUGAUGUACUUGGAGUCUAACCAACGCGAGUGGAUCGCGGGGGACAGUGUCAGGCGGGUAGUUUGACUGGGGCGGUCGCCUCCCAAAAAGUAACGGAGGCUCCCAAAGGUUCUCUCAGCACGGUCGGUAAUCGUGCGUCGAGUGCAAACGCAUAAGAGAGCUUAACUGCGAGACUGACGGGUCGAGCAGAUGCGAAAGCAGGGGUUAGUGAUCCGACGGUUCCGAGUGGAAGGGCCGUCGCUCAAAGGAUAAAAGGUACGCUAGGGAUAACAGGCUGAUCUUCCCCAAGAGUUCACAUCGACGGGAAGGUUUGGCACCUCGAUGUCGGCUCAUCGCAUCCUGGGGCUGGAGAAGGUCCCAAGGGUUUGGCUGUUCGCCAAUUAAAGCGGUACGUGAGCUGGGUUCAGAACGUCGUGAGACAGUUCGGUCCCUAUCCUAUGCGGGCGCAGGAUACUUGAAGAGGGUUGUCUCUAGUACGAGAGGACCGAGAUGAACGAACCUCUAGUGUACCAAUUGUCACGCCAGUGGCACGGUUGGGUAGCUACGUUCGGUAUGAUAAGCGCUGAAAGCAUCUAAGUGCGAAGCAUUCUCUAAGAUGAAGUAUCCCUUCCGGAGUGAUCCGGACUAAAGGUUCCUCGGAGAUGACGAGGUCGAUAGGCUGCAAGUGUAAGUUCAGUAAUGAAUUCAGCUGAGCAGUACUAAUUAACCGUGAGACUUAACCAA